GUGAACCUUAUGCACAAGCUCUGCUAAUUCCUGUUCUUCAGGGGUAGCUCGAUGAACACGUUGUAACUAUGCAGCUAAAGAUGCUUUACAUUAUCUUUACGUAAACAUAUAUACACAGGUUGAUAGAGUUUGGCUUACAAUAGGACUUAUCAAACUAUUCAAUCAAUCUAGAUAAACUUUAUCACCCUCCCUCAAUUCUAAUCAGGGACUGGUAGAAUUGAAAGUUUGGA
rnacentral:misc_RNA from 1 species